CCGAAUUAUUGUUUAAUGGCGAACAGUGGUUUCUGAAUGAAAAAGUGAAGGAUUGCGGUUGUUGACCCCCGUUUUAAAAUUUCUGUCCACUACAAAAGUAGACCAUACACGAAGGCUUCUCUUCAAGACUGAAUGAGUUGGAGGAUGGAUAUGGCGAAGAACUUCAAACUUUUCACCAGAACCGGCAUAUAAUUGAAUGAAUAUUCCAACAAACGUUUGAACAGAAUUCUUUGAUGCAGUGCAACAAUUGGUGUGAAUAUGUCACACAUCUUGUGUUAAAGAAAACCAAGACGAGAUAGACAAUGCCUGGUGAUGGCAAAACGAUUCUCUCCCUGAAGUCUGGAUCUCAUUACUGCUAAUUUCUUGUUAAUUAACCAUGAAUCCUGAAAAAGAGAUAUAUAAUUUCUGCAAGGCAGUUGUCUUCCCCACUUCCUUAUUAUUGAAAUAAUACCAAAAUUUAGUUAAUAUUCAACGACGCCGAUCUGAUUCAAUUACUAUGAUAUAGUUUAAUACAGAUGGUAUUUUCAGGUAUCUGGAUGAAGACGCCAUUCUAAGAAAAUAUUUUCAAAUUUUUAAAGUGUAAUCUGUAUUUUGCCAUAUGUUCGCAAUGUUGCAAAUUUCAUAACUAUAAAAAGUACAACCAAGACCUAUCAGUUAUAAUAUUUUGACUGAGCAUGUAAAUUUUUUCUAUCUUUCACAAAUAAACAAAAUCAAAACAA